CCUGCAGGAUAGUGUGUAUCGGCUUAACGCUUUUUUGUGCGUCUUGUGCCAAAAGUGUUUCCUGCUAUAUUGAUCUGGGGAAAGUGGGCAGUUGGGUUAAGCUUUUGUGCUUUUUUCAACAAUCAUUUUCCUCUCAUUU
rfam:Oryza rufipogon genomic scaffold, chr07